ACAACGGUUGUGUGAUGUUGCUUGGAACAUGCGGCCUCAGUUGCAAAAACGUUCUUGAUGUCUGAAUGUGUUGUUGUUGAGAUUAAGGAGCCUAAACCAGUUUCUGCAGGCAACUCAAUGGACAAUUCAGGUUAUUCCUAUUACUCUGAAUCCAUUGAUGGAAGCUUGGACAAUAACAUCAGAACUCAUGUUUCUUUAUCUCUGAAUCUCUUUGACUUUGUCUUGUUGUAGGAUAUGGAUACUAAGAUAGACCAGCCGGAUUUACUCUUGAAAAUCAGAGAUAAAUGAACGUUCUGAAAUGAGAGUAGCUCAUCGGAUACAAAUUACUUUUAGCUUGCAAACAAAUGUUGAUGUGCUAAGUGUAAUGAUUUUUUGAAUCAGAGCAUAAUGUGUUAAAAGUAUUCAAGAGUAAACAUUGUUGUAAGUUAUAAUAUCUUAAGUCUAACAUAUAAGUUUUAGCCACUUUUUGAGACAUCAUAAUCGUAUGUAUUUAUCAAAUUUGUCCCCAAAAGAAGUUCGUAAGACACUUGAAAGUACAAAAAUAUUGGGAAAGGCAUAAGAGACUUGUUGUGAUAACAAGAGAAAAAAAGACAAAAUGAAUAGCAAGAACAUAUGAGCAUCUCAUGCUACAGCUUCUGCUUAUGUCACACUUGGAUCCCGAUUUUCUUUGGUAAAUUAUCUUUGUGUAUACAUACAUGAGAAAUACUUGAAUCGUGGUCCUUUCUUUAUCAUGCAGGAAUCAAACUAUUGAGGUAAAUAUGAUGGAUUCUUGAUACUUUAAGACAAACCUUUGCCUAAUAUUAUGUUAG